rnacentral:misc_RNA from 1 species
AAGCAAUCAAUCUGCCAUGGGGAAAGUACACGGAUCUCUGGCUCGUGCCGGGAAGGUGAGAGGUCAAACUCCGAAAGUAGCGAAGCAGGACAAGAAGAAGAAGCCCCGUGGACGUGCACACAAGCGGAUGCAAUACAAUCGCAGAUUCGUUACUGCAGUGGUUGGUUUUGGAAAGAAGAGAGGACCCAACUCCUCUGAGAAGUAAGCAAACAGCAACCCAUGGGGGGGGAGCUUUGCCGCUGGAGAGGCAUGGUUUUGUGCUUUAUUAAGCUUUUUUUCCUAUUUCUCAUAGAUGUUUUAGUUUAUUGAGGCUCUUGACCGUGUAAAAGAUAUUUAUUUUGACAAUAUAUUAGAAGUAAUGUGAUUUGGG